UACGUAGGGUGCGAGCGUUGUCCGGAAUUACUGGGCGUAAAGAGCUCGUAGGUGGUUUGUCGCGUUGUUCGUGAAAUCUCACGGCUUAACUGUGAGCGUGCGGGCGAUACGGGCAGACUAGAGUACUGCAGGGGAGACUGGAAUUCCUGGUGUAGCGGUGAAAUGCGCAGAUAUCAGGAGGAACACCGGUGGCGAAGGCGGGUCUCUGGGCCGAAACUGACGCUGAGGAGCGAAAGCGUGGGGAGCGAACAGG
rnacentral:rRNA from 1 species